GACGAACGCUGGCGGCGUGCUUAACACAUGCAAGUCGAACGGAAAGGCCCUGCUUUUGUUUGGUGCUCGAGUGGCGAACGGGUGAGUAACACGUGUGUAACCUCCCCUUGACUUUGGGAUAACUUUAGGAAACUGGGGCUAAUACCGGAUAGGAGCUCCUGCUGCAUGGUGGUGGAUGGAAAGUUUCGGCGGUUGUGGAUGUACUCGCGGCUUAUCAGCUUGUUUGUGUGGUAGUGGCUUACCAAGGCUUUGACGGAUAGCCGGCCUGAGAGCGUUAACGGGCACAUUGGGACUGAGAGACGGAGCAGACGGCUACGGGAGGCAGCAGGGGGGAAUAUUGCACAAGGGGCGGAAGUCUGAUACAGAAACGUCGGGUGCGGGAUAACGGCCUUCGGGGGGUAAACAGCUUUCGAAUGUGACGAAGAGUGAGUGACGGUAAUGGGUAAAGAAGCACCGGCUAACUACGUG
rnacentral:rRNA from 1 species